CCCUAGAACAUGGGAUUACCCAUUUUCUCCUAACCCAAAUUCUCCCCUGCCUGCUAGUGCCGACCUCAGCCCCCUCACUUAUCCUCUUUCAUUUCCCGGCCACCGGAGCUCAAGCUUCGCCGACAAAAGCUCCUUCUCAUCGCUGUCGUUCCUUCUGUCACCCUCCUUCUUCAGUUCUGGUCGGUUUAUAGCGUGGCAGCAAGGGAAAAGCUUUUUCCGAUCGGACAGUCACCUUCGAUUUUCUUUUUUCGUUUUUUCGGCCACUCCUGCUCAACUGGUCGUCCCCAACUCUGUUCUCAUGGCACCGGCGCUCAGUCUCUCUCUCUCUCUCUGUCCCCCCUUCUGUUUCGGCUAGCGCAGCAAUGGUGAGCUGCGAUUAUGGCUCACGAUUGGGACAGUCCCGCUAUCCGUUUCCGUUUCAUUCUUCGAGGAGGCCAGCUAAAGGCCGGCCGGUUACACCCUUCCAUCGUCCCUAGUAGCUUCACCGGCCACCAUCCUCAUCAGUUUCGGCCGAGUUACCGCCUACAGUAACGGAUUUUUGAACAUCGGAGCUAUUUCCGGAAAACUGAUCCAGUGCCUCCAUAAAUCGACACUGGAUUUGCGCUAUUCAUGGAAUUCCGAGGCUGGGAUGUAAAAAUCGCUCAGUUUCAAUGAGGCAUGACUACCCGGUCACCGCGCACGGCGGACGGCGGCGGAGGUUCAGUGACCGGCCGGUGAGACUCCGGCGAGGCCUUGAGAGGCAGGAUUUCUUCCUUCUUGUGACGAUCGCGAUCCUGCAAUCCAAUUUUUAUCGAUAUGAUUGCGGGUCACAAAGAACCAAGUGUCAGAUGGCAGAAUGCCGGAAAAAAGAAUAUAACCUCUUGAUAAGCUAUAAAGCUAGAUCAGAAUCAUUGUCCACUCUCGAGGGUUACGCUCUUGAGGAUUACAGUGGUUAUGGAGCUGAACAAGGUGAAAAAGUACGUUGAAAUCUUGAGAACUAGCUGCUUUAUAAACCUUCAGGUGUUUGAUAAUUUCUAGAUUGGAAGUCCAACUACAACCAAGCAUUCUUAUAGAGGCAGAAAAAACAACAUAGCACAUGCUGCAAUUGCUUCAACAUUUUAUGGAGACCUUGGCAUUCAGGAAGAUGAUAUAUUUGUCUUUGAUGGUGCAAAAUGUGACAUAUCCUGCCUGCAGAUUCUUUUUGGAUCUAAUGUCACAAUGGCGGUGCAAGAUCCAUCAUACCCAUACCCGGUAAUUUAUGUUUUUCCAUUAGAGGUAUAAUUGUCAAAUUUGUGAUAUAUCUUCUUUUUCAUCUCCUUUUCUGUUUGUUCCUCCUUCCAUGUCAUGUUCAAUUGAACAUUGUACAAUUUGCCUUAAGUCUUAUAAUUUAUCUGUUUUAAUAGUACAAUUUGCCUUUUGUAAUGUGGAUGAAAACUGCCUACAUGCAAUUUUUGUUUUUUACA